GAUGAACGCUAGCUACCGGCUUAACACAUGCAAGUCGAGGGGCAGCAUGGUCUUAGCUUGCUAAGGCCGAUGGCGACCGGCGCACGGGUGAGUAACACGUAUCCAACCUGCCGUCUACUCUUGGACAGCCUUCUGAAAGGAAGAUUAAUACAAGAUGGCAUCAUGAGUCCGCAUGUUCACAUGAUUAAAGGUAUUCCGGUAGACGAUGGGGAUGCGUUCCAUUAGAUAGUAGGCGGGGUAACGGCCCACCUAGUCUUCGAUGGAUAGGGGUUCUGAGAGGAAGGUCCCCCACAUUGGAACUGAGACACGGUCCAAACUCCUACGGGAGGCAGCAGUGAGGAAUAUUGGUCAAUGGGCGAGAGCCUGAACCAGCCAAGUAGCGUGAAGGAUGACUGCCCUAUGGGUUGUAAACUUCUUUUAUAAAGGAAUAAAGUCGGGUAUGGAUACCCGUUUGCAUGUACUUUAUGAAUAAGGAUCGGCUAACUCCGUGCCAGCAGCCGCGGUAAUACGGAGGAUCCGAGCGUUAUCCGGAUUUAUUGGGUUUAAAGGGAGCGUAGAUGGAUGUUUAAGUCAGUUGUGAAAGUUUGCGGCUCAACCGUAAAAUUGCAGUUGAUACUGGAUAUCUUGAGUGCAGUUGAGGCAGGCGGAAUUCGUGGUGUAGCGGUGAAAUGCUUAGAUAUCACGAAGAACUCCGAUUGCGAAGGCAGCCUGCUAAGCUGCAACUGACAUUGAGGCUCGAAAGUGUGGGUAUCAAACAGG
rnacentral:rRNA from 1 species